rnacentral:misc_RNA from 1 species
UUAAGAUCCAUAUGUGGCUUGGCAAGCUGAUGUUCUGUGUCCCUAUUAUUCUCGCUUAAUGGUACACCGACCUCAAAAGGCAGUGCAGUGUGACCAAGGCCAUACUGUUGAGGUGCAAAAUAAAUAGCAGAGACAUCUUCACUUGGAGCAUUAAAUGUAGAAGAUGAAGGAAUAUCAAUGGAGUGUCUUCCAAAUGGUGCGAACAUGGGAAUGGAUGGAGUCCGUGACUGUUGUGUCCGAACAAAGUUUAAUGACGUACGGUCCGGACCGGUUUGCUCAUAGGUGAACAAGGCAUCCAUGAUGCAGAUGGGCCUGGAAUGGAUGGGCCUGGCAUGGAGGUACUUGGCGUCCAAGACGUGUAUGGACCAGCAUCAUCAGAAGCGUCGUAUGGGUUGAAACCGAUAGCGGGUGAGACGGCAUCACAGAGUGUUACAGUUGAAGGGCUUUGUGCCUUCUCCGUUGAGCAGCACGAGAGCACUGUUGUAUGUUUGAUUGGUCAAGCUCUGCGAUAGGUGGGUCCUGAGGCAAGUCUCCAAUUUGUGGUGCUGGCUGAGCUUACUGUGGAGGUGGCAUACGGGCGAGUCGCCUUUCUUCUUGAAGAGCACGAAACAUGUCCUUCAGUAUGCGAUGAAUAUGCUCCAGAUUCUGGCGUGUUGGAUUUCCAAUUCGCAAAAGACAAUCCUCCAAUCCAUCUUCCUACAGAACAUGUGUGCAUUAAUCAGUUAUUAAUACUGCUUAUUUUAUAUUAAAUACAAGAAUGCAAAUAAAUUAAAUAAAAGUCCACUGUAAUCAGUGUUACAACUGAACCAACAGCAGCUCCAGCAGUGACCGUGAUCCACCGUUUUGCGACUUGUCCAUGCCACUUUGAAUGAUAAUCGUGCAGUUGCGAUGGUGGUUGCCCUGAAACAAUAAACUGGUGUCGCCGAUCCCAUAAAUCAAUUAAUUGUGCAUAUUGUUGAGGCCAAUUUCCCUCACUCCAAGGGAGAGAAAUAUUAUGAAGUGCGUUCGUUUGGUGGGGUUGGCGUGGAUUCGGUUGCUUCAUUCUGAAUUGUCUCUUGAUCCUAUCACUCAACUAUGUAAAAACAAAUCAACGACACCAUUG